CACCGCGGUUAUACGAGAGGCCCAAAUAGAUGCUUCAUCGGCGUAAAGUGUGAUUAGAGAACUCAAUAUAUUAAAGCCAAACAUUCCUUAUGCUGUCAUACGCUAAUUGGAUACAUGAAGCCCAACCACGAAAGUGACUUUAUAACACUUGAACUCACGACAGCUAGAACA
rnacentral:rRNA from 1 species